rnacentral:rRNA from 1 species
AUAUCAAUAAGCGGAGGAAAAGAAACCAACAGGGAUUGCCUCAGUAACGGCGAGUGAAGCGGCAAAAGCUCAAAUUUGAAAUCUGGCCUCACGGUCCGAGUUGUAAUUUGUAGAGGAUGCUUCGAACGUGGUCCGGUCUAAGUUCCUUGGAACAGGACGUCAUAGAGGGUGAGAAUCCCGUAUGUGCCCGGGUGCCAUUGUUCAUGUGAAGCUCCUUCGACGAGUCGAGUUGUUUGGGAAUGCAGCUCAAAAUGGGUGGUAAAUUUCAUCUAAAGCUAAAUACUGGCCAGAGACCGAUAGCGCACAAGUAGAGUGAUCGAAAGAUGAAAAGCACUUUGGAAAGAGAGUUAAACAGUAC